rnacentral:lncRNA from 1 species
CACUUCCUUCAAACCUUGAAAUGAACACUCUCUGAACUUCAGCUCUUUGACAGCUUCUGCGACUGCACAUUUCAUGUGUGGGCCGCACUUUGCACUUGGACUCUAAUAAACUUUCCUUCACAAUCUGCGGCCACAGAUGGAAAUCUGCGGUACGCACUUUGAGCUUUUGUUCCUGAUUUUGUCCUUGAGUUCAGAUCACUCAUUCUUGAGUUUGAUUUCAUCUUAACAACUCAUAUUCCAAUACUCCUGCAAUUAAGCAUAUUUCUUUCAUUUUUGGGAAUACAAUUAAACGCGUUUGGACUAAAAUGAAAGCUAAAAGGCGCUAAUAAGUAGUCAAAAUUCCCACUUAUCAAUGACUUGCUCCAGUUCUUCCACCGUUACUUGGUGGCAUCGAAAUUAUCGGGAGCGAUAAGGAUUGAGGAAACCCGAAGUCAUCAUCAUCGUCAAUCCCUUGCUUUUCCGAUUGGGUCAAAGCUGGCAUCGAUAGUUGCUAUUGGCUUCCUGUUUCGCUUUCGAACCUGAGUCCUUCAUCGAUGAGAGUGUUGAUAUUGGAAUUACUUCAUCGAUGGAAAACAUCUCCUUCACGGCAGGUUGUUCCUGUAAACUGUCUUUAUCCCCUCUAGUGUUGGAAAUUUUAAUACCUGGUGAAAGGUCAAAGGUACGACCCUCAUGUUGUGGAUCCAUGGUCUCCCAAAUAGGGACGUUGUAUCGAAAAUCCCCCUUGAUUACAUAGAACUUGGUUUUUUGGGUAGUACCGGCAAUGUUUACCGGCAACAUUAUUUCUCCCUUCAUAGUUUCAAAAGCCAUGUUAAAUCCAUUCAGCACUCGAGCCGCAGGUACGAUCUGGUCCUGUAGGCCGAGUUGUUCUACGACCCUCAACCGAAUGAUGUUGGACGAGCUACCUGGAUUAAUUAGCACACGUUCAACUUUAGUUUUAUUUAUAAGAAUAGAAAUUACUUGUUCAUUAUUAUGAGGUUGCAUGAUUCCUUCUCUGUCCUCGUCAUUGAAAGAUAGAGUCCUUUCUGGCAAGUAAUCCCGAUUCCGUUUUUCUCUUAUGAUUGACACUUUGGUGUGUUUCAUCACGGGUUUGAGGAAGUCGACCCCUCUAAUGAUCAUAUAGAUGACGUGUUGAGUUCGUCUUGUUCAUUUUGUUUGUUUGAGUCCCUGAUUCUGAAGUGAAUCUUAGCUCGGUCACUUAGAAAUUCUCGAAGAUGACCGUUGUUGAACAACCGGGCUACUUCUUCCCUCAAUUGUCGAUAGUCCUUCGUCCCGUGGCGUGCGUGCCAUGGUAUUUACAUAUUUGGUUGGGAUCCCUUUGUGUUGGAUCAAUUUGCAAAGGUCGAGGCCACUUGAUUUCUUUGAUGCGUGAUCAGGUCCAACCUACACCUCUACAGAUUAGCAGGAGCGGUCGAUGAAGCUUUUACCCGAGAAGGUCGGGAUCGAAUCCACAGGGAACUAACGUGCAAAGCAAUUGUUUACACUUCUAAACAUGUGUUGAUGGUUCUCUAAUAUAGAUUAUCACUAAUGAUGCUGAAAUUAAGCUAAGUAUGAUAUCUUUUUGUCAGGUUUUCUUAACUUAUGGAAAGGCACUAGGGAAGUGACUUUCCCCUAGGUGAAUACUUGACUGGUUCUAAAGCCUAAGACAAAGUGGUUAUGUUUAGGAUUGCGAUAUAGCCAAUGCACGAAAUUACUCACUCUAUACCUCUCGGUAGCUUGAGUGACUUUGCCCUAAUUAGCUUUCUCAAAACCAAUUAGGUGUCAAAAUUGUCCAAGCAAUAUAGGCUCAAGUUGGGUAUUACUAUCUCUAGGUUUAACCCUUUAAUUGGGGCUAUCAAUCUCUUGAAUACGCCCCAAUUCCUUGUUGGCCUGAUUUUCCUAGACUCAAGCUCUCUUUCUCAAGAAGAGCCCAAGUCAAAAAGGCAAAAAAUUAGUGUUUGCAACUACUAAUUCAACAUGAAAAACAAAAAUCAGGUCAAAUAUCAACCACCCAUAAAUAUAAAAGCCCUAAAAGAAGAGACUCAUCAAAUAUCCACACUAGGGUUGAGCUACAACCCUAGCUAAUGGGUCUAGCUACUCAUAAUAAUAGAAGAAAUCACAUAUUGAGAUGAAGAAUAACCCAUAAAAUAUAAUUACAAGCUAAGAUUCGAAGAUUCAAUGUUAAACUAGCCAUAAAAUUACUCAAAAUAGUUUAAAACGGCGUUCACGUGCUCAGCUACAGAUGAGAUGACCUAAAAAUAUGAAAAAGAAGUAUUUAUACAAGGUCGGAUUUUCUGGACAAAAAUUCCCCUAAAAGAGGUACUGCGGAUUGCAAAAAAUGGACUGCGGCAGCGGUGAAGAUUUUUGGAUUCAAAUCUUAUUCUCUGAAUCUAGCCACCACGGACCGCAAUAAAUGGAUCGAGGCCGCAAUGGCUUCAUUGCUGCCGCAUAAAAUCAACAGAGGUCUGCGGUAUCUUGAAAACUUCCAAACUUCAGGCUCUCUGAAUCUCUUCUCCGUAGACCGCAACAAAUAGAUCGUAGCCGCGAUGAGGCUACCACGGCCACGAUGAAGCUACCAUGAUCCGCAUUGCUUGAAAUUCCAGGAUUGCAUCUUCUCUGAUCUUUUCCACAGCAGACCGUAAUAAAUGGACCGUGACCGCAGUGGGUCUAUUGCAGUCACAGUGGAUUUACUGUUGUAGCGGUGCUUUGACAUUCUUGGCACUUGUACAGGUUUCACUCUUUUUUGAGCUGGUUUUUGACUUCUUUGUCACUUUUUGACCAAACACUGCAAACAAGCACAGCAUGUAAUCUUUCGAGAUUACUUGUAUACACUUUAAUCCAAAACUCAAGCAAAAAGCAGUAUAAAAUAGACUAGAACCCCUAGUUAUCAAUGCACCCGAUAGCCGAAAUGAUGACAGCCGCAUCAACAUCAAAGUUAUACUCUAACAAUCGUGGUGCCUCUUUGAGUCCCAUAGAUCUAUUGAAGAUGUUCUUGCUCAUGAGUCCCCGUGAGCUUAAACUUCGAUCAUUUCUUCUUUCAUUUCAUACAGAGUUUCGCCCAGAUCUGUUGUUCCUAUGGUCUCCAUUAUAUGGCUGAUAUCGAUCUAUAUUUGACCUUGCUUCUCGAUCAAUAUCCCUAUUAAUUCUAUCGACGGGUCUGCUAGGGUAAACGGACCCAGAAGAAGCCCCUAGUUGAUCAUCCUCGACUCUGAUCUUCGACUGAUAUCGAUUGUACACAUCGGCCUAAGUGACAUCUGGUAUUCGAUCAAAUUCAUCUUCAACUGAUGUGAAGCCACUGAACUUCGACCGUUGAGACCUAGAGUGAAAGCUCGAAUAGCCCAAUCAUCGGCGGCCGAUGGCAAGUCCAUCUGUUCCAUUUGGAAUCGAGACACGAAUUCUUUGAGCAUCUCGUUGUCCUUCUACCUUACCUUGAAAAGGCCCGACUUCCUGGUUUCGACCUUGAUGGCCUCGGUGUGUGCCUUGAAGAAAGAAUCUGCAAGCAUAACAAUCGAGUCAAUAGAAUUAGGUAAUAAAUUAUGAUAUCAUAUCAUAGCACCCUUCGAUAGAGUCUCCCCGAAUUUCUUUAGCAAGACAGAUUCGAUCUUGUCAUCUUCCAAGUCAUUUUCUUUGAUAGCACACGUGUAGGAGGUGACGUGUUCAUUUGGAUCAGUUGUCCCAUUGUACUUAGGAAUAUCGGGCAUGCUGAGAUUCCUUGGUAUUGGCUUUGGAGCCACACUCGGGGGAAAAGGUUUUUGUACGAACUUUUUGGAAUCCAGACCUUUCAAUAUUGGUAGUGCCAGCGGGAUUUGUUCGACCCUGGAGUUAUAGGUUUCCACCUUCUUGUCGUUUUCCUCAAUCUUCUUUUCCCUUGUCUCGAUUCGCUCUGUCAGUUCUUCGAGCAUCUUCAUGAUAGAAGGAUUGGUCUCCGAUUCCUUCUCCUUUAAUUUCCUCGAAACCGGUUUGACCCUGUGUACGAUUUCCUGGGAUGGCUCAAGUUUGAACAUGCUUGGUGUGUGGUUAUGGUUUUGGAGCUCGGCUAUUGCUGCCUAUUGAUCCUGCAACAUUUUGAAGAUCACCCGCAGGCUGAUCCCGCCAUCUUCACCGCCACGUGCACUUUGAGUAGCUGAUUUGUCAUCCCCACGGAUGCUGCUUUGGGGAUCGAUGACCAAAUUUCCAUUGAUGACUACAUAUGAAUUGACGUCGAUUGGAUCUACAUCCAGAAUUCCAUCGAGGCCAACAAGGGGCACAUCGUUUGUUGGUGCAUGUUCUCAUUUUCGUCGUGGUGGUUGAGAUCAUUAUCAAUGUGUUGAGGUGCUGACUGGGAGUUUGACAUUUUUUAAUCCUGUAAUCAAAGAUACUUCAAAGAACAAUUGUAAAAUAGUAUGCAUUGCGAAAGUUUGUACCAGAUAGCCACCAUUAUCCUUAGCCCCACGGUGGGCACCAAACUUUUUACCCUAAAAUCGGAUAACAAUUAAAUUUAUACGCGGAUUUAAGGACACGUGAUAUAGCUUGGUACAAAUUAAGAAGAAUAAAUUAGUAUUGAUAUUGACAAUGAAAGAAAUAAUACAAACCACACAAAUUGAACAGCCUUGUCCCUCGAGUUCGGUUACCCUUGAACCAAAUAUGUUUCAACUUGCUUAUGAACAGAAUAACAAGAUAAUCAAAGCUAGAAAAUGACAAUAUAUUACUUAGUAUUGCGUGAAUAUAAUGCAUUUACAAAUGAUCAAACCCCCUUUAUAUAGUAGGGGAGUCUACUUUAGGUACAAUUCUAUAUGAGGUAAGAAAUCACAUGAUUGACUAAUUAAUCGACCUCUUCUUGAUACGUGCCGGGAUAUGCACCGUGAUCCUCGUCCGAUUACGGAUAUUUCGACUAUUCGUUAUUUGGCUCGGUAAGCUUCCCUCGAUCUCUAUCUUGUUCGGUCUCGACCAGGGCCGAUCUCGAUCUUGAUCGGUCUUAGGGCCACGAGCUUGGCAAUCUAACUUUGCAUCAUGGUUCGAUAUGAUAUGAGGCUAAACCUUGGCUUAUCGCGUUCCAGUCUCGAUUAGUCAUACAAAAAGGGCAAGUCCGAUUUCGACCGUAUACAUAUUUUAUUUUUUUUCUUUUAGUUAUUCAUUUUUAAUAUAUUUAGCUACGAGCAUAACGCGUGCUUCAAAAACUAAACACUUAACAUUUUUAUGAAACAAAAAUAUUAUUCAAACUAAUAUGUGUAUAAGAUUUUCCUAGUAUAAGAGAGCAUAAGUGUUUGAUUAAAAUAUACUCCUGAGAUAUAUCCUUAACUAAGUCAUAUUAUAGGAGUGACAAUAUAAUUUGGUAUGUAGAAUGAGUCUAAAUAAAUUUUUCCAAUAACUUCAAAGUUAAGAAUAUCCUAGUGCAUCAAUGCUGGUGCAGGUACAUUUUUUCUGUAUGACGUGCUAAAAUUCAAAAGGCAAUAUGAGUUUUUACGCUAGCAUUUGAACAUAGAUUAGUUGAAACUUGAAAAAACGAGUUUUGAAAAAUAAUUUUGAAAGUUAAACUUGUGUUUAGACAUGAAUUUACAUGAAAAAAUAUUGAAGUUCUGUGAGUUGAAGAUAAAUUUUCACCCAAAAAUAGUGGCCCAAACUAGUUUUUGGAACUUGAAAAUUUAUCUUCAGAUUUUUUUCAAAAUUUGAACAAAUAAUUUUUUUCUUAUUUUAUAUGACACAUUUUCAUUUUUAUUAUGCAUAAAAUAGAUUUUUUUAUAUUUAGAAAUACUGUAUCUUAAAAGUUUUUGUUUUAUUCUUGAGAUAAAUUAUAGUAAUUACAAAUAUUUAAGGCUGGUUUUAGACCACAAAUUUUAAUUUUUUUUAAACUUCUAAAACUAUUUAUAUAGUCAAAUUAUAUCACAUAAAUUGAGCUAUAGUGAGUACUACUUAUCACUCUUUGUUUCACAAAAAGUAUUAACUCUUCGAAAAAUAUUAAUUUAGCUUCAUAUAUUUGUUCAGCUGGAUGAAAAUAUGGUAAGAGACAACCAUCCAUGAGAAUAAAUUACCGAGUCAAGAUUCAUCAUGAUUAAGUCUUUUGAAAUCAUUCAUCUAUCCCAUUUUAUUUGAUCUACUUUUAGUUUAUAUCUGUCUUAACAAACUUUAUUAAAUUGAGUGACAUGAGUCAAAACUUUCAAAUAAGUAAGGGGUCGUUUGGUAUGAGGUAUAAAAAGGUAUAGUGCUGGUAUAAAAAUUAAUACCAUUUUAAUAUUUAAGUUUGGUUAUCAUACUUGGUAUAAGUUAUCCCGUGAUUAAAAUUAGUACUGAGAUAACUUAUACCUUAUAGAGGGUGGGGUAAUUAAUACCGGGAUAAUUUAUACCUUCUUCUUAUAAAUUAUGCAAUUGUUAGUUUUAAUACAACAAACCAAACAAUGGAUAAAAAAUAACCAGGAUAACUAAUCCCAUCAUAACUAAUCCAAGCAUAAAUUAUCCCGGCACAAGUAGUAUUCAAACCAAACGACCCCUAAGGGUUCGUUCGGUAUGAGAUAUAAGUAGGUAUACCGGUGGUAUAAAAAUUUAACAUCACCUUAAUACUAUGUUUGAUUAGCAAACAUAAGUUAUCCCAGUGAUAAUUUUAAUACCGGGAUAACUUAUACCUUAUAGAGGGUGAGGUAAUUAGCACUGGUAUAACUUAUACCUUCUUCUUAGAAAUUAUGCAAUUGUCAUUAUUAAUACAACAUGCCAAAUGGUGAAUAAACAACAAUCCCUGUAUAAUUUAUCCCAACAUAACUUCUACUGGCAUAACUUAUACCAACAUAAUCCGUAUUCCAACCAAACGACCCCUAAGUGAACACCCAGUGAAGGUAAACUUUUAUCAAUUUAUAAUGCUUUCUAAAUGAAAGGCUUAUAGGAAAUCUUUGCUCAUCUAGGCUAGUGUCUCAAUACUAAUAUUAUUUGUGUAGUUUAAUUGAUUUUAUAAAGAAAACCGUACACUUUUCAUACUAAUUGUUUACUGUAAAAAUGGUAAUAACAAUUAAAUUUGUUAAUGGGACUCUGAAAAUAUGUGAUCUGCUUUUAUGCUAGCUGUUAAGCAGUUGAUAUUGUAUAUGUGCGACUUAGAAACGAAAUGACAGUUAAGGGUAGAAUGAUAAUCAAACCGAUAGGCAAACAAUCGGGGCCUCGAGCUUGUCGAUUCGGGGGCCUCGAGGUCGAUUCCAGAGCUCGGUUGUGAGCUAUCCGGGGUAAUCCUGGUAGGGGUAGCAGUUAUGAUAAAAUUAGUGAAGGCUCUUUAUGGCCAAUGACAAGCAAUAAAUGAUGAACAAUAAAUGAAAAUAAUAAUAUCAAGAGAGUAUAUUAGAGAGCAAAGAGAAUGUUCUUGUAUAUUUUAUGUGGAGCAGCUGAAGCAACAUAACCUUACAAAAUGACAAUGAUCCCCUUUAUAUAGGAGGAAAAUUCAAACAUAGUACAAAAUGUAUUAAUGACAAAGAUACAGAGAUGGGACAACCAGAUGACACCCUGAUUUGGGUUUAGAGUAAUCCACUAGGCUCUGUCAGUCUUAGUCAUGUGCCUUGGGAACUCGCCAUUUCUAUCAUAGACGUGAUCAACAUUGUCCCAAGGUCGGGCGUCAAUGAAUCGUGAAGGAGGAAACUCGACCAUGGUCUUGUAGCAUCGAGACUUCGAGAUGAUGUUCUGAGGUGCCUCGAUGACGAGGAAUUGGACCCUCCAAUUUCGCCGUAUACAGAUAGUCCCCGCAUUUCUUAGAGAAGAGCGAUAAGAAACGAUUUUGACAUCCAACUCUUCGGCCUUCCUGUGAUGAUGUCAUACCGAGGACGCAAGCCUCCGUGAUAGCCGAAAACGUCCCGCCAUUUUGCUUCUCCAAAAUCAUUCAAUGUGUUACGAUUUAUCGUUCAUCAAAGCUAUAACGUCGCUACCGAUUCAGCUCCUAAGGAAGCAUUAAUUGUGCCUGCCGUUACGUCUUUCGAAUAUAAUAAUGGCAUCGUCAGUUACGCUAUCGCCCUUCCUAUAAAUGGGAGCCACCUCGGAUCAACCUUUUAUCCAAGUUCCUUCCCAUAUCUAUCCAUUCUUCUCUUCUUACCAUCCUUAUCCAUUGUCGUUCGCCAUGUUUGAGGCCCAUGGCCUUACGAUUGUAUGGCGGCGCUUCUAUCAGCCAUGCCAAGGCCUAUCUCCUAGAUUUUCCUCAGUCGAGCAAGAUUACACCGUUUCGUUAUUGUUGUUGUUAUUAUUCUUAUUACUGUCAUUGGAUCGGGACGACAAAGUAGGAGGCCGAUUUCUCCAGGUUCGGGAAAAUAUUUGGACUCUACACCGCUGCUUAGGGGGGGUGUUCAAACUCUAUACCACUGCUCACCUCCCCCAACUAUCCGGUACGGUGCCUCACUCCUUUUGCUUUCCAUGGGGUGAGGUGGUACUAUCUACUAACUGUUGCAUCCCGCAUUGGUGUGACGUCUCAAGAAGUGGCUUCGUAAUAGUAGUGCUGGCGAGAUCCAUACUAGAUAGAUUUUUCACCCAGCCACUUCUUCAUUCCUUUCUGCUUCUUCUGCGUCAUUUUUCUCUUCUCCACCGCUUUCCUCUUCUUUAUCUCCCCUUUUGAAGAUGCCAUUCUGAGGGUCGAGAUAAGACUCCUGAGGGGAUGGCUCUUGGAAGAUAUUUCUUUGAGGACGUAUGCCCAAGGAGAUGAUGCCCGAAGAUGAUGCUGCCGAGGAUGCACCUUUAAGAGUAGGCUCGGCUCUUAGGCUUUUACUAUAUGUAUACCCUUUUGCUUCUUUGUUUUUGUGUAAGGACCCCUCGUGGGCUUUUGUAAUUAUAUGUAAGGACCCCUCGCAGGCUGUUGUAACCAAAUGUUUAUGAAUACAAAGAUGUUCCUUCAAUUUUGUCUUCGGUGCUUGCUAUACUCCUUUUCAUUUAUGUUUAUGGAGAUUCCGUAUGCAUGACUCUGUCGGGUACUAGCUAUAUCGAACCCGGAUUUGAGUAUUUUUUCUGACCUUUGGCCUAUUAAAACGGCUUCCUGUGGAAUCCUUUGCUGUUCCUCAGGCCAAGCUUGGAUUGGUCCGAUAAGCUCGGGUCGUCGGGACCCUUACUUCAAGUAGAAUGGAAGUAAUGCCUCGAGACUUAAGACUAUGAUUUGUCACUUGGACCUUGCGGUAAUCUUUGAGGGGAAAUUUACUUGGAGGUCCAAUGAUAGGGACUGCCUUUAAGUUUUUGAGAAUAGUUCCCAACUGAGGGUCCGUUCAAAUCCGGAUCACCUGGGAACCUGCUUUGAACAUAGCAUAAGCAUCCCUAAGGCAUAGUAGGUAGAUCCCGAACGAGGUUUUACCCGAAUUUAGAUGGCAUCCCGUGAUCGAGUCCAUAUGGGUGGAGCUUAAAUGCUUAUUUCCUUAGAGCCUAACUUCUUUUUGAUGGAGGUUCUCGAGGUCAGGUACCACCUCGGGACUGGCGAUGAUGUAGAUGGCUUCUUAGAGCCUAACUUCUUUUGCUGGAGGUCCUCGAGGUCGGGUACCACCUCGAGACUAGCAACGAUGUCGUUGGCCUCUUGGAGCCCAACUCUUUUUUCUUUUUGAAGGGAGUCCUCGAGGUCGGGUACCACCUCGGGACUAGAGAUGAUGCCGUUGGCUUCUCAAAGCCUAACCUUCUUUUUAAUGGAGGUUCUCGAGGUCGGGUACCAUCCUCGAGACUGGCGAUGAUGUUGUUGGCCUCUUGGAGCCCAACUCUUUUUUUCUUUUUGACGGGAGUCCUCGAGGUAGGGCACCACCUCGGAACUGGCGAUGAUUCCUUUGGCUUCUCAUAGCCUAACAUUCAUUUUUAUGGAGGGUCUUGAGGUCAGGUACCAUCCUCGAGACUGGCAACAAUGUCGUUGGCCUCUUGGAGCCCAACUCUUUUUUUCUUUUUGAGGGGAGUCCUCGAGGUCCGGUACCACCUCGGGAUUGGCGAUGAUGUCGUUGGCUUCUUAGAGUCUAACCUUCUUUUUUAUGGAGUUUCUCGAGGUCGGGUACUACCUCGAGACUGGCGACGAUUCCGUUAGCCUUCUAGGUAGGCGGGUCAUUGCCGUUUUUUUCAUAUAUAGGGUCGUUUCUGCCCCUUUGAAGAUCCCAUCAUUUUAAGCAGUUACCUUUCUUUUUACGAUUUUUGUUACUUCAGUACUAACGUACUUGCACAAAUUCCUGCUCUAGUUCUUUGAUUUUGCCACCACCAUGACUGCUACAUCGGGGGUCUGUCCGGUAGAGAAGGGAGAGUUCUGCCUCCAAUAUUCAGGGCUAAUGAGAGCGUACCUUAAAGAUUGCUUCUUUGAUAGGAUAAGAAUACCUUGGGUUAGUGAGAAAAGACUACGGAUGGGGGGAGGCAGUAGUGUUACAGAUACUUUCACCAGAUGAAGGCAUCACGGAUCGCGCUAAUGGGUUCCUGAAUGUGUACACGUAUCCUUUCAUAAUGGGCCCCCUUGAUAGGGUUGUGCUCGACUUCUAUUUAAAGUUUCGGGUUACCUUGGUGCAUAUCCAUCCGUCAUUUUGGCAAAUAACGUUGAGGAUAAGAUUUUUCGUGGAGAGAACAGGGCUUAAAUUUACGCUUAGUCACGUUAUCAGGCUGUACCAGCCCUUUCACCAUCGGGGUCUGCUAACCUUGGAAUGCCGAUCGGCCACGCCCUUCGUCAUCGAUGAUCAGGAAGACAGAUAUCGGGAGCGGAUGGGUCGAUUCGUCCAAGUUUGGACCACUGACAUUAUCCCUGUGGAGGUUAUACCAUUCCCUGAGGAAUGGAACUAUACACGUAAGUGGUGCACUCCGUGCCUUCUUACUUUUGCUUAUGGCGAAGGCUGGUUUUGUGAUCAUGCCUCUUUUUCUUUUUCUGUAGCGGUUUCGUAGGCACCGAGCAACGUUCCUGAUUUGCCGGAUUGGGUUCGAAAGUUGGCGACUCACUCGACUCGUCAUGAGCGCUAAUGGCGAGCUUUGUCCCGGGGCCAAUGGGAAGCUAAAAAUCAUAGUGCGUGUUAUGCUAUUUUUUCCUUUCCCUUCCUUCACUUGGAGAGGCAUUUUCCCUUUCUGUGUAUUAAUCUUGUUGUUGUAGGCAUCGGAGGGCCUUCCGAGGCGAGGCAGCGCUCUUUUGUAGAGGGGGAAGGGUUUCUAGCUUUUGGGCUAAAGAACGAUAAUAAUAAGCGGGAGAUGCCUUCACAGGGCGAUGGCGCUCAAAGCAAGGCGAAACUGGAUCGGGGCUUCGGAGCGGAAGCAUCAUUUGAACCUGCCACUCUCGUGGUUCCUGGCUUUGGGAUGGUGGUUUCUCCAUUUCUGUCGCCUACUUUUUCCGUUGACAGCACUUCGAGGGAUACUAGAAACCCGGGGUCGUAUACUUCGAGCGACCAUGUCUCGACCGGAGUCAGUUCUUUCAGGGUUAAGGGAACUAGGUUAGCAAAUAUGCGCUCGACUUUUGAGGAAGCUCGGCGGCUUCACUUCGUGGUAAGUUUCGGCAUAGGCCUUUUGAGUUUCACAUUUUCCCUUCUUUAUUGGGUUUUCUUCUAAAGGACUUCGGCGAUCUUAAGUCCAGGUUGCGGAAAGCUCUGGAUGAGGAGAGAUCCCUUAGGCUCUUUACGAUAAAAAGGAAGUGAGCCGGAGCUCAAAUUAUGAGAGCUACUUAAAGGAGCAGGUAAUUUUCUGUCCUAGGUGAGUGUGCGUUUCGUCUUCUCAUUUCUGGGGCUGAUAUCUCGUUUAUCUCAGUUGUAGAAAAACACAUAGGCCCGGAGCACCUUCGGAGUGAAGUUGGCCAAGCCAAACGCGAGCAUGAUGAGCUAAGAGAUCAAGCGGAAGUCUAGGCUUUAGAGGGGAAGAGUGCUCUGGCCAAAGUUCCUUCCUUUGAGGAUCAACUUCGAUUAGCUCGUGAUAAUGCUUUGGUUCAAAUGGAAAUGAUUACAAAGCUCGAGUCCGAGCUUUUGAAGGUCAGGGCUGAGAUCGUUGAUGCCCAGUCUGAAGCCAUAAUGAACCGAACCAAGGCUGACUAGGAGGUGGCGAUCUAUUUAAAGGACGUUACCGAUGCCCAAGCUGAGCUGAGAAUGGUCCUCGACCGUGAAGAGAGGACCAAAGAAUAUGCUCGAUGCAAGUCUCGAAGAAAGAUUCUCGAGGAGAUCCGUGCUAGGGGUUUUGUCCUUUCGGAAGAGUUGGCGCGAGCGAGGGCAGAUGAGCGUGAUGCUUCGAGACUUCUGUCCGAUACUGAAGAUGAGGCCGGCAGGCCGUAGCCCUCUUGGGAGGGAGGCGUAGAUUUUGCCAUAUGUAUAUAGCAUUUUCAAAGCAUAUUUGUAUAUGGAGAUCGUAUUUUUUCGUAUAUGUGUAUAAAAGAAAACCUUGCGGCUUUAUUUCUUCUAUAUCGAAUUUGGCCAAGUGACUAGUAUUUGAUUUGGUAGGAAUCCUUAGAUUCGUGAUAGGUCCCUGAGGCUCGUUAGGCUAUCCCGUAGGCUUUUGCGCGCUUGGUCUAUGUGACUUUUUUCAUUUACUAUUUUGGGUUCAGUCUCCGAGUCGGGUUUCAACUCGAGCUCAUUCGACCCUCAAGCUUUGCAUUUGUGUGGGCUGGCGACAAUGACUCUUAUGCCUUGGGUUGAAGCGACCUUUUAGUGUAAGCUGGCGAUAAUGGCUCUUAUGCCUUGGGUCGAAGUGACCUUUUAGUGUAAGCUGGCGACAAUGGCUCUUAUGCGUUGGUCGAAGCAAUCUUUUUAGUGUAAGCUGGCGACAAUGGCUCUUACGCCUUAGGCUAAUGCGGUCUUUUAGUGUAAGCUGGCAACAAUGGCUCUUAUGCUUUGGGUCGAAGCGACCUUUUGGUGUAAGCUGGCAUUUGAUCUCUUAUGCUUUUGCCCAGGGGCAUUUUUAGUUAAAUAUUUUGGGUUCAGCCUCCGAAUCGGGUUUCGACUUGAGCUCAUUCGACCCUCAAGUUUUCGAAUUUGUGUGGGCUGGCGACAAUGGAUCUUACGCCUUGGGCCGAUGCGGCCUUUUAUGUGGGCUAGUGACGAUGGCUUUUAUGCUUUGGGUCGAAGCGACCUUUUAUUGGCUUUAUUUUUCCCUCGUUAAGGACUUUUUGAAAUAAUUUUUGUCGGACUCUUCUACAGUUCGGGAAGAACAUCGAUUAUGAGUCAUUUUGUGGCGAUGAUCGAGCACCUCGGGAGGUUUGGCUCGGAGGCUGAGUAUCUCGAAGCCGUGAUUUGGAGCUGACGUGGUCAAAGCUCUUUUGCCUAUGACGAGGGUAGCCUAUUUAACCAAUUGGUUUCGAAGUUGAUUCGAAUUAUUUGAAGGCCUGUGAUUUUGUAGCGACGGUCGGGCAUCCCCGAGUCGCGUUAGUUUGGCCGGUACAGCCUUAUGACCAUAGUUAUUUGUGUUUGGUCGGAGCCAUUUUUGAUCCAAAUGAAGUAGUUUAGGCGUCUAUAUUGAGGGUAUGCCUUUUAGGGGUCUUACAAGUUUGAUAUAUAGCCUUAACUUUGGGAUCGGGUUUAUGCCUUUAGUAAGGUCUUACAAAAUUUUCAUGCCUUUGAGGUCUUACAGUUUUUAGAUACUUGGUACAAGUAUGGUUCAUGCCUUGCUUGAGGUCUUACAGAUACUGUUGCUGCCUCAUUACAGUUUAAUGAAUGGUAAUUGGCGACAGUUCCUGAGUCAUCGAGGGUGUUCUGGCUCGGGAGCCAUUACUCGUAAACUUUGUAUUGCCUCAUUGAGGGCUUACGAUUUCGGAGAUUCCGACCCUGAGGUCAUGCAAUUUUUGAGAUUUCGACGCCGGUUCCCGAGUGUUCGGGGCACUUUCGGCCUUGGAGAUGUUUUGUGAUUUUCAUGUUGCCUCGUUGAGGGCUUAUGAGUUUGGAGUCUCGACCCGGAGGUCAUUCAGGUGUUGAAUUGUGGAUGCCAGUCCCCGAGUGUUCGGAUCGUUUUCGAUGGAGGAGUCGUUAUUGCAAGAAUGCUGGGUUGCUCUUGGAGUGUGAGAUGUUUUGAUAAAGGUGUUCUUCGAUUACUUGGCAUAAGUAUACAUUUUUUUGCCGUUGGGGGCCCGGCUAUACGGACACGGUUCGUUCGACCGUUUGGCCCGGUACAUCGUUUUCCUAUUUGGGACCCCAUUUGGCGUUUCUUAGUUCUUCCGAGUGGAUGACCUUACGGAAGGGGGGGAUACCCUCCAGUGUUCGAGGUUGAUUGCAAAAGAAACCUUGAAUACUUGUCGAGUCUUUCUCAGGUAGCAUGUGGAUGUUGCCUCGUUAAAAACCUUGCCGGUAAAACCCUUUUCGGGAUAAAAAAAUCGGUCGAAGGAAAAGAGUGCAACAGAUGCUUUAAAACCUUAAGGUCUUCGGGCUGGGUUAGCGCUUUGACUGCUUUUAUCGAGCGCCUGCAUAAGGGUUAGUACGAAAUAUAAAAUGAAAAGGGAGAUGGUUAUACCUUAGCGUGGGAUGUGACGGCGAUGUUUUGAGGUCCGAAAUGUCCCUGUCGUUUGUAAUGAGGACAUGGUACGGUCCUCUACUAUGUUUAAUUGGGCUUAACCGAAGAUGUAGUUUGAUUACCCUUUGGCUCUUUUGUGAGUGGAGGUAUUGGUGCUGGUGCCGUAUUGUGCACUGCGAACAUUUUCCUCGCCGCAUGUUGUUCCCCGUAGACGGUUUUAAUCCCAUCCUUUGUCGGGUAUUUCAUCAUUUGGUGGAGGAUGGAUGGUACUGCUCUCAUGCAGUAUAUCCAUGGUCGUCCGAACAAGGUGUUGUACCUCAUGUCGCCUUCGAUGACAUGAAAUUUUACAUUUUGGGUGGUACCGGCCACGUCGACUGAAAGGAUGAUUUCUCCUUUCGUUGUUUCACUUGCCAUAUUGAAUCCGUUGAGGACUCGAGUGGCGGGCACUGUAGACAUGUGAUUUUUGUCUCUCCCCAAGAUUUUCCACAUUUUAGCGUAAAAUAUUUAAUUUAGGCCUAAUAUCGUCAUUUCAACUAAUUUUGACUCUUUUACUUUAUUUUAUUACAAGAAAAGAAAAUUACAAAAAAAUAGUUUCAUUAAUGUUUUAUAGUCACUUUUAAUCUUGAAAAAUACCAAAAAUAGUUUUGUUUUAACGGUCAGUCUUAUUUUAAUAAUUAUUUUAUUUAAGUAGGAUUAAUUAAUAAAUGAGAUCGUAUUUUUAGUCUCGUUCGCGGGAAAAGAAUAAAAAUUUGGGCUCGAACAACCUAUUUUUAGGCCUAAUUUUUGGACCUAACUCAUAACAACUCAAGCCCAAUACCCACUAAACUAACCCUAAUUUAUUUAUAUCUAUCUAUAAUAAUAAUAAUAAUAUAUUAAAAAUAAGAAGCCCAUAACUUAAAAGUUGAAUUACUAAAAUAUCCUUUUUAUUAUUUACCUAAAUAACCUAUUAAAUAUUUUUGUUUUAAAAACUAACAGCUACACAUGUGCUUCGUAGUUCGUACCUAUUUUUAAGAAACCGAACCGUCACAACCAUCAAUCGUGAGCGAAAAGGCACCUUGUUGCGACAGUUAAAAUAUACUACUACUAUUUUAACACCGCGCCUUGAAAUUAUUGUUAUAUUUGCGUGAAGACCCAAACACUAAUUUGUAUCUUGGAAGUUGGAAGUUCAUCAACUUAAUUUGUAUUUUUCUUGUGCAUAUAGUAUUUUUUGGGUUCCCAUAGGUAUUGUCAAUAUUCAUGUGUUCCUUUCUUUAAAUUAUGCAUUUCAGAUUUAACAUAUUAUGAGAAAUAUGGAGGUCAGCAUUGUUCAAUACCUGUAGAAUGACAAAUUUCUAAGACAGAAAAUUGGAAUCCUAAUACUAAUCAAAGCUUUAUCAUAUUAAAAAAAAAUUACAGUGUGAUAAAUUACAUUCUAUUACAUUAUUUUUAUUAAUGACUUUGUGCACAUUUUCUUAUGGUUUCCUUUGUAGGUUAAUUUCUCAAGGGGCAAAACGAUCUUAUUGUUUCCUAAGGACUGCACAUUUUAAUUUUUUAUUGUAAAUUGAUUUUGAUAUACAUGUCAAUAUUUUUCUUUGCAAUUUUUUUCCCCCUAAUGGAAGAUAUAUUUUAACAUAAAGUACCAUAUAUUUGAUACCAUGAACGCGAAAAUGAAGAGAAUACCAAGUAGUAGAAAAAAAAAAAUCCAGAAGAAGUGAAGAUAGAUGAUAUAUUAUGGGUGACUUAUGCUUGCAGAUAGACGGUUCAACAUUUUUACAGCAUGCAUUCUUUUUUCAUGUGUAUAAUAUAAUAUAAUAAAUUAGUUAAUGUUUAUGUGUAAAAUGCAUAUUAUAGGUUCAAUAUAAAGAUUACAGAUAUAUUAUAAAUAAAUUAAAAUGAGUCUUAGUAUUGUUCUUGCUAACAAUGCUAUAAGAGAGUGGAUAUUAUAAAUAAUAGUACAACUUGUGACUACAAUUGUAAUAUACAAAAUGUUGAUUACGAAUGGGCGUGAGAUCUUUUCCUAUUUCAUGGACAAUGUCGUAUUCGUGUUAUACUUUUUGAUAUUCCAAAAUAUUUUUUAGGUUGCAAUGCUAAAAAAAAUACAUUCAACCAAACUUUGAGAAGGCCAGAACAUUAUUAAUAUAUAUAUGUAUGUAUUUAUAUCUUAUUAUUUUAAUCAAAGGAAGACAAAUUGAAUGCAUUUUUUAACAUCAAUUAAUUUCUAGCAUAUGAGUUAGUUUUAAUGCUGCAUGAAGAGGAAUAUAAGUACUAUGACAAGUUGGUGUUAAGCAAAAAUGAAUAAUUCACUUUCUUGUCAAGAUUUAUAAGAAAAGUGAAAAUUCAUGAAGGUUUAAUUGCUCAAGAGAUACAUGAAUUUAAAGAUGUUGAUGAAAUAAACCAUAAACUAGUUUAAUUUUUGAGAUUAUAUUUGUCGAAAAAGAUUAUUAUUGGUGUGUCAAUUUAAAUAUCAAUUUUACUAUUUUUCUUCAUAUAAAGCAACUUGUGCAAACAUAAAUAAAUUUUACAUAAAUAUUAUUUACAAAUUGGUGAUAUGUUAUUAUAAAUCUGAUGUCUCUUGAGAGAAGCAUACCGUAUUAAUAUUUUAUGCAUUAUGCUCGACAAAAAAAAUAUAUGAACAAUUUGAAUUUUGUGAUCUACAUUGGUCUUGAAUUUUAGUCUUAUUUAUUUAAAUAAAUUUCACUUAGUUAAAUAGAAAGAAAAGGAAAUCGCUUCACCAUGAAAGGUAAUGUGAAGAAAGGACCAUGGUAAUCCGAGGAAGAUAUUAAGCUCCAAAAGUUCAUUGAAGAAGAAGAAAUUGAAUACUUUGGAAUAGUACAUAGAACAUAUAGAACUUUAACCUAAAUUUUAUCUUACUUGAUUACCUAAUUUUCAUUCGGUAGAUAAAAAUGACUCAUUAUAUAAUUCAAUUUUUCAUAUCCACCAAUGAGAUUAUUUGAAUUCUAACACUUAUCAUCAAUAUAAAAAUAAAUAUUACUUAUAAAUGUAUAUGAUGAAACUGAAGAUUUAUGCAUGACAUAUACUAAACUAGAAAUAGUGAGGCUUGAAUAUUGCAUGAAAGACAAUCAACUUUGAAAAGACGAUUAUGCCAAGCCAAUUGAUAUUAGUAUGAAUGAAGGAUAUAAAAAAAGAUCACAAAUGGCUAGAAGAAAGAAAUAGAUUUGGUCGAAGAGUACGUUUUUCGACUCUAUUCAUAAAAGAACUCAAGAUUACACGAGAAUGCUAAUUUUUGGUACAUUUAAAUUUAUAAUUAUGAAUUAAAUUAAAUUAAAUAUUUUUAAAUAUAUCUGCAUUAACUAAUUUUUGGAAUAUUUAUUUUAAAAAAUAAUAUGAGUUUCACGUGAGGAGAAACUAGUACCCUUAUAAAGAAGCUAACGCCUAAGCAGCUAAAGAGACAAAAAAACAAUAUACUAGGGACUUAACGCAAAAAAUCAGAAUAAAAAAAGACCUAGAAAAGAUAGGCCGCUUCUUCUUCAAAAAAAAAAGAACAAAAAACGUAUGGACCAAGCGAGAAGAUCCUGAAGCUGCUGCAGAACGCAAAACGACCCCCACCCCCUUGAAACCUCAUCUCCUUCACACCACCCCAGCAGCCGGAACACAAACGACCCCCACCCCAUCGACUCGCCUGCUUCAACAACAACAGCCACCGGACCUCACGACUCACCCCAUCGCCGGAAACUCGCAUACACCGCCUGCAUCCAUCUCCCUCAACGCACACAGCCACACACGCACAGAAAUGAGAAACAGAGAGAAGGAGAGUAGAAGGGAGGCAGCGAGUUUCAGUCAAAAAUCGAGUGAACGUUAGCUCCGAGCUUGGGUGUCGAGUUUUUCGGUAUCGUUUCGAGGUUCCGUCCGCGUCUUUGUCCGUUAUUCAAGCUUCAAAACAGUGUUGUAAAGGUCCGUAUCUCCCACUAUCGCUCUGUUAAGAUAUUAUUUGUGAAUGUAUGAAUUUUAUUUAGCUUCAUGAAGGCUGAAACGG